rnacentral:rRNA from 1 species
UACGUAGGGUGCAAGCGUUAAUCGGAAUUACUGGGCGUAAAGCGUGCGCAGGCGGUCCGUUAAGACAGAUGUGAAAUCCCCGGGCUUAACCUGGGAACUGCAUUUGUGACUGGCGGACUCGAGUAUGGCAGAGGGGGGUAGAAUUCCACGUGUAGCAGUGAAAUGCGUAGAGAUGUGGAGGAAUACCGAUGGCGAAGGCAGCCCCCUGGGCCAAUACUGACG